rnacentral:rRNA from 1 species
UACGUAGGGGGCAAGCGUUGUCCGGAUUUAUUGGGCGUAAAGCGCGUGUAGGCGGCCAGGUAGGUCGGUUGUGAAAAUUGGAGGCUCAACCUUCAGACGUCGACCCAAACCCCUGGCUAGAGUCCGGAAGAGGAGAGUGGAAUUCCUGGUGUAGCGGUGAAAUGCGCAGAGUAUCAGGAGAACACCCGUGGCGAAGGCGGCUCUCUGGGACGGUACUGACGCUGAGACGCGAAAGCG